rnacentral:rRNA from 1 species
UACGGGGGGGGCAAGCGUUGUUCGGAAUUACUGGGCGUAAAGGGUGCGUAGGCGGGUCUUUUAAGUCAGGGGUGAAAUCCUGGAGCUCAACUCCAGAACUGCCUUUGAUACUGAGGAUCUUGAGUUCGGGAGAGGUGAGUGGAACUGCGAGUGUAGAGGUGAAAUUCGUAGAUAUUCGCAAGAACACCAAUAGCGAAGGCAGCUCGCUGGGACGUUACUGACACUGAGGCGCGAAAGCGUGGGGAGCGAACAGG